UAUAAUAUUUAUGUAAUUCCUUAAAAUUAGAUAAGUACACGCGCAACGCGCGUGCUCAGAGACUAGUAUAUUACAUAAAUACGUUUGUAUGAAGUAGGCGUUACAUCAAUAAAGUUGUCAACAUUUACAGAAAUGAUCAACACCCAUUUCUCAUUAAAGUUAGCAUCAGUAUUCCACAAAACCAACUAAGAUGUAAUGUAUAUGUAUAUAAAGUUUGUAUCAAUUGCUACACAAGGUGUUGUUAAACUUUUAGAUUUACCUUUGUCGUGGUGGUUGAAUGAAAAGCUAUUUUUCUAUGGUUUUAGUGAAGUGUGAAUAUUUUGAUUGUGGCAGGGAGUGUACUGGGUGGUGGAGGAAGUGUGCCAUUUCCAAAGGCUACUGCUGCAGACUGGGUGAAGAUGGUAAAUGAGAUUCAUAAGGGUUCACUUUCAAUACGCCUUGGUAUUCCCAUGAUUUAUGGAAUUGAUAUAGUCCAUGGGCACAACAAUGUCUACAAAGCAACGAUGUUUCCACAAGAUGAUGGCCUUGGAGUCACAGGAGACCCACAACUUGUGAGCGGAUUGGGGCUGCGACUACCCUUUGAGGGCAGAACCACAGGAAUCCCUUACACUUUUGCACGGUGCAUCGCAGUGAGUACCAUCACAUCAUAUGCAAUCUAUAUAUUCUUUAUUUGAUAUCUUUCAUCAUAGGUCUGUGUGUUCGUCUGCAGUAAAACACUUUGAACAUAUUUUCAAUCUUAAACCUCCUAUUAUGGAUCUCACAAUUCUGGAUUGCAUUCCUACUUGUAUUUGUUAUGAGGAUAAUACAAGUAUGAUCAGGUGUCCUAAUGAAGAGGAGAUUUAAGGGGUUUGUGUUUGAUAUGAGCUCUGAUAGUGCUGCUGGUCCUGAUGGUUUUUCUGGUGGAGGAUCCCGCUAACUUCUCUGACCUAAGGCAUUAGCCUUGGCAACUUCUCUAGCAAGAUCAUCACCAAGAUUCUCUCCAAAGCUUAUCCUAAUCUUAAGCUAGACUAUCCAUGGGUCCAAAUUUGUGACAUUGUGGUGAGACUUAGGCCAAACACCAU